UACGGAGGGUGCAAGCGUUAUCCGGAUUCACUGGGUUUAAAGGGUGCGUAGGCGGGCAGGUAAGUCAGUGGUGAAAUCUUUGGGCUUAACCCGAAAACUGCCAUUGAUACUAUCUGUCUUGAAUAUUGUGGAGGUGAGCGGAAUAUGUCAUGUAGCGGUGAAAUGCUUAGAUAUGACAUAGAACACCCAUUGCGAAGGCAGCUCACUACGCAUAUAUUGACGCUGAUGCACGAAAGCGUGGGGAUCAAACAGG
rnacentral:rRNA from 1 species